rnacentral:rRNA from 1 species
UACGGUGAAUACGUUCCCGGACCUUGUACACACCGCCCCGUCAAGCCAUGGAAGCCGGGUGUACCUAAAGUCGGUAACCGCAAGGAGCCGCCUAGGGUAAAACUGGUGACGUGGGCU